rnacentral:rRNA from 1 species
UGGGGAAUAUUGCACAAUGGGCGCAAGCCUGAUGCAGCCAUGCCGCGUGUGUGAAGAAGGCCUUCGGGUUGUAAAGCACUUUCAGCGGGGAGGAAGGCGUUAAGGUUAAUAACCUUGGCGAUUGACGUUACCCGCAGAAGAAGCACCGGCUAACUCCGUGCCAGCAGCCGCGGUAAUACGGAGGGUGCAAGCGUUAAUCGGAAUUACUGGGCGUAAAGCGCACGCAGGCGGUCUGUCAAGUCGGAUGUGAAAUCUCCGGGCUCAACCUGGGAACUGCAUUCGAAACUGGCAGGCUAGAGUCUUGUAGAGGGGGGUAGAAUUCCAGGUGUAGCGGUGAAAUGCGUAGAGAUCUGGAGGAAUACCGGUGGCGAAGGCGGCCCCCUGGACAAAGACUGACGCUCAGGUGCGAAAGAGUGGGGAGCAAACAGG